rnacentral:rRNA from 1 species
UGAAAUCCCGUCUUGGCCAGAGCAUAGUCCAACGUUUGCUUGGGAGUGAAGAGUCAGGUUGUUUGGUAUUGCAGCCUAAAGCUGGAGGUAAAUCUCUCCUAAAGCUAAAUAUUGACGAAAGACCGAUAGCGAACAAGUACCGUGAGGGAAAGAUGAAAAGCACUUUGAAAAGAGGGUCAAAAAGUACGUGAAAUUGCUGAAAGGGAACCGUAUGAAAUCAGCUUGUCUCUUUGGUAAUCAGCCUGGGCUUCGGCCUGGGUGCACUUGCCAGUGAGUACAGCCUGCGACAAUUCGGGGCGAAGGAAAAAAUCAGGGGGAAUGUGGCCUCAGCUUCCGGCUGAGGUGUUAUAGCCCUUUGAAAAAUACUUUGCCCUGGAUUGAGGACUGCAGCGAGCCGUUUGGGAUAGGCUAGGGGCGCUUUGACUUGGCUGGGAGGAAAUCUCUAUCUCUGGUAGUGUUCUUCCAGUCGGGCUGAACCCGCCCUUUUUACUUUUAUCUCGCUUAGGUCGUAGGCAUAAUGAUUUUAUAUGACCCGUCUUGAAACACGGACCAAGGAGUCCACCAUUAUUGCGAGUCUUUGGGUGUAAAAACCCAUGGGCGAAAGGAAACUGACCAAGAUAUGAAGCCUUUACCGGUGGCAAUAUCCUCCAGCGUGGAUGUUUUAUACUGAAAUGACUGAGAGAAAGCAAUAAUGAUGGGACCCGAAAGAUGGUGAACUAUACUUGAAUAGGGUGAAGCCAGAGGAAACUCUGGUGGAAGCUCGUAGCGAUUCUGACGUGCAAAUCGAUCGUCAAAUUUGAGUAUAGGGGCGAAAGACUAAUCGAACCCGU